GUCGCUGGCCAGACUGACGGCACAAGUCCACAAGCGCGUACGUGCGGGGGAAGUCCGGUCUGAGUCCGGCGCUGGCCCGCAACGGUAGGCCGUCGAGGUGAUCCACUUUCGACGGCGAGCCCGAAUACCCGCCGUACGCGUGAAUUCGUU
rnacentral:ncRNA from 2 species